rnacentral:rRNA from 1 species
AUACGUAGGGGGCGAGCGUUGUCCGGAAUGAUUGGGCGUAAAGGGCGCGUAGGCGGCCCGGUAAGUCUGGAGUGAAAGUCCUGUUUUUAAGAUGGGAAUUGCUUUGGAUACUGUCGGGCUUGAGUGCAGGAGAGGUAAGUGGAAUUCCCAGGGUAGCGGUGAAAUGCGUAGAGAUUGGGAGGAACACCAGUGGCGAAGGCGACUUACUGGACUGUAACUGACGCUGAGGCGCGAAAGUGUGGGGAGCAAACAGGAUUAGAUACCCUGGUAGUCCACACUGUAAACGAUGAAUACUAGGUGUAGGGGGUAUCGACUCCCUCUGUGCCGCAGUUAACACAAUAAGUAUUCCGCCUGGGGAGUACGGCCGCAAGGUUGAAACUCAAAUGAAUUGACGGGG